rnacentral:rRNA from 1 species
GCAGGCGCGAAACCUCUACACUGUACGCAAGUGCGAUAAGGGGACUCCGAGUGUGAAGGCAUAGAGCCUUCACUUUUGUACACCGUAAGGUGGUGUACGAAUAAGGGCUGGGCAAGACCGGUGCCAGCCGCCGCGGUAAUACCGGCAGCCCGAGUGAUGGCCGAUAUUAUUGGGCCUAAAGCGUCCGUAGCUGGCCGGACAAGUCCGUUGGGAAAUCUGUUCGCUUAACGAGCAGGCGUCCAGCGGAAACUGUUCGGCUUGGGACCGGAAGACCUGAGGGGUACGUCCGGGGUAGGAGUGAAAUCCUGUAAUCCUGGACGGACCACCGGUGGCGAAAGCGCCUCAGGAGGACGGAUCCGACAGUGAGGGACGAAAGCUAGGGUCUCGAACCGGAUUAGAUACCCGGGUAGUCCUAGCUGUAAACGAUGCCCGCUAGGUGUGGCGCAGGCUACGAGCCUGCGCUGUGCCGUAGGGAAGCCGAGAAGCGGGCCGCCUGGGAAGUACGUCUGCAAGGAUGAAACUUAAAGGAAUUGGCGGGGGAGCACUACAACCGGAGGAGCCUGCGGUUUAAUUGGAUUCAACGCCGG